rnacentral:rRNA from 1 species
UACGGAGGGUGCCAGCGUUGUCAGGAUUUAUUGGGCUUAAAGGGUGCGUAGGUGGCCCGUUAAGUCAGCGGUGAAAUCCCGGGGCUCAACCCCGGAACUGCCGUUGAUACUGGCGGGCUUGAGUUCGGUGAAGGCGGGCGGAACUGGCGGUGUAGCGGUGAAAUGCUUAGAUACCGCCAAGAACCCCGAUUGCGUAGGCAGCUCGCUGUGCCGAAACUGACGCUGAGGCACGAAAGCGUGGGGAGCGAACAGG